GAUUCCCCUCCACGCCCCGCGCGGCGGGCCUUCCCCGUCGUUCCCCAGCAGUCACGUGACUUUCCACCAAUCAGGGCCGCUGGACGAACGCGAGAGCGCCUGCGGGUAGGUAUCGGAUGACGCAUGGAGCGGAAGGGUGCUUCUUGGGUGCUUCAGAGCAGCUUCAGAGCCUUCAGAGUUCCUGGGACUGCGUGAGGGCCUGGUUGUCAUCGUCACUGCUCUGCGCUCGCAGCCCCACGGAGCCGGAGAGGAGGAGUGGAAGCUUUGGCACCUAUUCAGACACAAUGUCAUCAAACGGCGCCAGUGGGAGGGAUCGACAAGCGGAGUUGGACCGACAGAAGUGGUCCAGAGGUGUUCGCUGGACCGACGGCGAGUCGCCACCACCGGGCAGCGGCUGCUUCGCCUGGUGCUGUGGAGGCAGCGCUUCCAGAGGCAGCACCAGCCGCUCUCACAAGAUCACGAAACGUCGCACCAGUUCCAACUGGAGCGGCGGCGGCGGCGGCGGCGGCUGGUGGGGUGGAAGCUGUGACGGCGGCGGCGGCGGCGGCGGCGGCGGCGGCUGGAGUGGGGGUUGUGACAGCGGCGGCGGUGGUGGUGGCGGCGGCGGUGGUGGUGGGGGUUGUGAUGGCGGUGGUGGGGGUUGUGAUGGUGGCGGAGGCUGCUAGUAUUAGUGGCCAGGUUGACUUGAAGCUCAGCAAACUGAAUUACCGAUAUCGAAUGAAACAUGCUUCGUCAUCAUCACCAUUUCACCUCAUGUUAUCUCUAACAUCACCUGUUCUACACACUACACAGCAUAUGUCUUGUAAAGCACAUCGUUCUAGAUACUCCAUGCCGCUUUAUAAUGACCCGCAUUUCAGUCAUAUUGACGAUGAAAUGAUGGCGAUGAUGUAGCGGUACAAUCUCGUGUGUACGGGGACCCGCAGUUGCUACUGUACACGAACCCCAACUAUAGCUGUCUGUCCUGUCCAGUAACAACCGACAACAUUGAUAUCGACUGCCGGUCCCUGUACAAGAGCAGCUGAGGUUUUCUGUGCAUGCCCUCUGACAGCUUAUCGUUGUUCCCUAGGGAACCUUCCCAGCACCUUCACAGCUGUGAAGGUGCUGGGACAAUUUACUCAGGGUCGCUGUACAGUAGCAACUGCGGGUCCCCGUACCAUCAACUCUGUCUCGUCGUUUAAUGUUCUAACGGUUCUUUUAUAAUACAUACAUAAAUAUACAAUAUA